CCUACGGGUGGCAGCAGUGGGGAAUAUUGGGCAAUGGGCGCAAGCCUGACCCAGCAACGCCGCGUGAAGGAAGAAGGCUUUCGGGUUGUAAACUUCUUUUGUCAGGGAAGAGUAGAAGACGGUACCUGACGAAUAAGCCACGGCUAACUACGUGCCAGCAGCCGCGGUAAUACGUAGGUGGCAAGCGUUGUCCGGAUUUACUGGGUGUAAAGGGCGUGUAGCCGGGUUGACAAGUCAGAUGUGAAAUCCUGCGGCUUAACCGCAGAACUGCAUUUGAAACUGUUGAUCUUGAGUACUGGAGAGGCAGAUGGAAUUCCUAGUGUAGCGGUGAAAUGCGUAGAUAUUACACAGAACACCGAUUGCGAAGGCAGCUUGCUAGGCCGGAUCUGACACUGAUGCACGAAAGCGUGGGGAUCGAACAGGAUUAGAUACCCUUGUAGUC
rnacentral:rRNA from 1 species